rnacentral:lncRNA from 1 species
CUUUGAGAAUACACAUCUAGACACCUCAACUCGUCCCCACUGUGUCGUUGUGAACAACCGACGUUGAUGUGACUCAUAAAUUUUGGAGGUGUCUAGAUGAUCAUUUUUGUAAGUUGGACAGGUCAACUGACAUGGUUAGACGAGUUGAGGCCAAGUUAAACUGUGUUGCGUUCAGUCUAUACUGCAAAUUGAUAGAUGGAACAGCAGAUUAUGAGGCCAAUUGUGUUGAAGUAUUGGUUUUGAACUUUUUUUGAGCUUUCAAGUCCACCACAAUCACUGUUAUGUUGUCCUUGCUGCC